rnacentral:lncRNA from 1 species
GGCGCCCACCGUAAGCCUCCCGGGCCUUGUGAACCUGCAAACCCAAGUCUGAGAGACGAUCCGCCUUCAGCGCUUUCCAGCUUGGCAGAGAGGCUUUCCCGGCGGGGAUCUUUGGUUGGCGCUGGCGAUGCGCGGGGAAGAAAGGCGAGGAGCGGCGUCCAGGCUGGGUGAUGUCCCAGCACGAGUAGGCGGGAUGCGCUCGCUUGGUCCUCCGGGCGCCCGGUCCCUGCCCGCGUCGCGCGCCCACCCCUGGGGACGAGAAGGCGGCCGCCUGAGGACCCCCGCCCGCGACCUCCGCGAGUCUGGAGCGCAGAGGACAGGGUCUGGCUGCUCUUUGGCCUUGGAUGGAAAGUGGGGAAUUGGGUGGGGGGCUGCGGACCCCUUAACGUGGAUUACUUGGUGUGUAUCAGCUGGGCUCAGAAGACCCACGACCUCUUCUCCAUCCGUGGAUUGAUUUGUUCUGCUUAACAGCUGGGUCGCCAAGCUGGAGGUGGAAUCAGAGGUUUCUGGCUGACUCGGUGGGUGCUUUGAACCAGGAAAGGACAAGAAAGAGGUGAGUUGCACUUGGCAGUUAUAGUACAGCUGCCUGCCUGUGGCUCUUCUUGCUUUGAGGUUUGCUCCUUCUUCAGUGCAACCCUUUGCCCAGACAUCCCUAAUGCCCCCAGCUCAGAGCAGCAGUUGGCAGGCAGGAGCUUUGCAGUUAGCCAUCGGAGAGCCCCACAGACAGGGGUUAAUAAGUACAAACAGUCAUCACAAUUAAUUCAGGCCAGGCUGUGUGCUCCUGGCUUUUAGUUGAAUCAACUCAUUUUCACCUCUCACAACUCUAGCAGUCAGGUCCUGUUAUGCCCAACCUACAGAUGGGGAGACUGAAGUUUGGUCACUCGCCCAAGGUCACACAGUUAACUAGUGAGGGAGCCAGGCCUAGACUGUUGCUGGGAUCUAUUGCUGUUUUGAGUGACCAUGAAUUUUCCCAGCUCCCCGGGGCACCAUGCAACAGCUCCUGCUACCUGCCCUGAACACGCCGAGUCUACUGCAGGGCACAGAGGUCUCGCAGUUUGCAGGGAGAACAUGAAGCAGGUGACUCAAAGCCUGCGGGUCCAGGAGAUAAACAGGUGGAUUGCACCUGCUGGCCUUCAGGAGCGCAGAGACUGUCCAUGGGGUUAAAUGGGAUAUCAGGGCUUUCUGGCAUGCUGCCGACUGAAGUCUGCUCCCAAUAAAACAGGAUGUGGAACAAGGGGCCGCUCUCCUACUGCAAGGGCUGGGUUUGCCCAGGGCUGUCUAGAUUCCACCAUCCACAGCAGUUACAGCACUGGGUGUAAGUCUCAGUCGUAAGUACUAAGCAACAGAUCAUCUCUACUAGUAUGAAGCCUGGGAGAGGGUUGUCCCCGCUGCCUGCAGAGCCACCAGGGGUCAUAAUGGCAGAUAGCAGGCCCAGCAGCAAAAAAAAAAAAAAAA